rfam:Rattus norvegicus chromosome 14, whole genome shotgun sequence.
GGGGAUUUAGCUCAGUGGUAGAGUAUUUGCCUAGCAAGUGCAAGGCCCUGGGUUCACUCCCCAGCUCCA